UACGUAGGCAGCAAGCGUUGUUCGGAGUUACUGGGCGUAAAGGGUGUGUAGGCGGUUGGAUAAGUGUGGUGUGAAAUCUCCCGGCUUAACUGGGAGGGUGCGCUACAAACUGUCUGACUAGAGGGUGGGAGAGGUAAGCGGAAUUCCUGGUGUAGCGGUGAAAUGCGUAGAUAUCAGGAGGAACACCUGUGGUGUAGACAGCUUACUGGACCACUUCUGACGCUGAGACACGAAAGCGUGGGUAGCAAACAGG
rnacentral:rRNA from 1 species